UGAAAUAUUUGGAUUGGCUGAUGUGGACUACCAGCUGGCUAAACAUUGGUAAAAAUAUUGGACUUUCUAGAUAUGGAGUUACUCCUAUGGUGGUAACUCAGAAGUUUCUGCUCGCUGACUCUGGAAACAGCACUGAGGGAACAUGAGAAGGGGUAGGCAAAGGCUGCAGAAAGUGAGAGUUUAAUCCUUUGUGUUUGACGUGAUGCAUUAUACAAAUUGGAUCCUACAAGAGAUUAAAAUUGUAGCAGUGUUUCAUUAUCAUUCAUGGAGAUCGUGCCUCAGAUGGAAUUCCCUCAUUAAACUUUGGACUUAGGGCAUUUAAUGUCUUAAAUGUUUCAUUUAGGUAAGAUUUAAGGACAAUAAAAACAACAAAAAGCUUGUGAAAAUAGUGGAUGGCAUAUGAUGAUUGCAGGUUGUGUUCAUGGAAAGCAUGCAUCACUAUG